GCGUUUAGAACCGUGAAGAGAAUUAGGGUACCGUCGAAACUCCUCGCUACUCAGCUUUCUCACGAUACGGUACGUUCUUUUCUUCACUGUUUGAAUCUAUCUAUUAACUUAUCAUUGAUUAACAAGUAUAAUAAUGUAAUCAUGUUUUUAUGUUCCUAAUUUUUUAUUGGGUAAUGAUGUUUGUUACGAAACACACGAAACUAUCAUACUUGGUGAUUUUACGUACGCCACUAUUUAACCAUAUAUUAUGUCAUGAUCCCACUUUCACACACUACCUGACCAUGUAUUGUGUUAAAGGCCAAGAUUUCUUGUGUUUCGUAUAUGUUGUUUAUCGCACUAAAUAGCAGUGCUCUUUUUUAUUUAUCUAGUUAUUUGUUAUUUUUGGCAACAUUUAAGAGAUUGAAUAAGGCCACAAAAAUAAAGGACUCUUAAAGAUGAUUUUCACCUUGAUCAUUUGAAAAUCUGAUUAGAUAUUUCACUUUUGCUGCAAAUCAAGGAGGACUCAAGCAACUGCAAUGGGUCUAGCAACGAGGCUCGUCUAUUUUAUGUUAGGGUACGUAACUGCUUAUCAGAAUCACCAACUUCGAAACCACUUCGAGAGGGAAGCUAACAAUUUCAAAGAUCAGGUUGAUAAAUUGAUCCAAGAUCAGGUUGAGGAACUGAAUUCAGCAAAUUUCCAAGAUUGGGUUGAGAAACUGGUCCUUGAGAGACUGAAUAGAGCAAAUUUCCAAGAUCAGGUUGAGAAACUGAAUACAGCAAAAGAUGAUGAUUAGAAGAAAAAAAACUGGAACUUUCAUUUUUGACACUGCAGUGGAAUCAGGUUUUGUUUUGGGAUUUUUAGGGUGACAAUUUGUUCUCUAUUAUAUAGGAUCAAGUAUCUUUAUUAACUGACACAAAUUAGUUAAGGUCUUUAAAGAAGUGUUCUUCAAGGCAAAUGUUGUCAUUUUCUUAUCCUUGUUCUAAAAUUUACUUGUGACUUGCAUAAUAUCAAAUAUUCUUGUUAAAUUGAUCCUUUAUCUUGCUCAG
rnacentral:lncRNA from 1 species